AUAGAUUUUAUUUAUUAAUUUUAUUUAUUUAUUUAAUUUAUUUAAUAAAAAUAAUUUUAAAAUUUUAAGUUUAAGUAUUUUAUAAAGAAAAAAUAAUUUUAAUUAUAGCUUAUUUGUAUUGUGAAAGAAAAUUGAAAUAAUUUGAAAAAUUUUUAUUUUAAAAGAAAAUUUAAUUUAUUGUACCUUGUGUAUCAGGGUUUAUUAAAUAAAAAAUUAUUAUAUUAAUUUUUCUCGAAUUUUAAAGAUUUAAUUAUAUAUAAAAGUUACUGUGGAAUAAUUAUUUUUAAUAUAUAAUUAGAAAUGAAAUGUUAAUCGUUUUAAAAUAUAUCUAGUUUUUUAAGAAAUAAAUUUAAUUUAGAUUUAUAAAUUUAAAUUAUUUAAUUAUUUUAAAUAAUUUAUUUUAUAAAAUUAAUAUUUUAAGGGAUUAGCUUUAAAAUAAAUUUUUAAAUUUUAAAUUAAUUAUUUAAUAAAUAUAAGCUUAAAAAUAGCUAUUAUUAAUAAAUUUGUUAUAAUUUAUUUUAAAAAUUUAAUUAUUUAAUAUAAAAUUAAAUUAUUUAUUAAAAUAUAAAUUUUAAUAAUAAAAAUUUAUAAAUUAUGAUAAAAUUAGUAUAUAAAAUUUUUAUAAAUAAUUAUUUAUGAAAGGUUUAAAUAAGGAAUUCGGCAAAAUAUAUAUUCACCUGUUUAUCAAAAACAUGUCUUUUUGAAUUAAAUUUAAAGUCUAACCUGCCCACUGAUAUAAAUUAAAGGGCCGCAGUAUUUUGACUGUGCGAAGGUAGCAUAAUCACUAGUCUUUUAAUUGGAGGCUUGUAUGAAUGGUUGAAUGAGAUAUAUACUGUCUUUUUUAAAAUUAUAUAGAAUUUUAUUUUUUAGUUAAAAAGCUAAAAUAAAAUUAAAGGACGAGAAGACCCUAUAGAUCUUUAUUUUUGUUAUUUAUAAAUUAAAAAGAAUUUUAAAAUUUAUAAUUUAAUAAAAAAUUUUAUUGGGGUGAUAUUAAAAUUUAAAAAACUUUUAAGAUUUACUAACAUUAAUAUAUGAAUAAAUGAUCCAGUUUUAUUGAUUAAAAAUUUAAGUUACCUUAGGGAUAACAGCGUAAUUUUUUUUUAGAGUUCAUAUCGACAAAAAAGAUUGCGACCUCGAUGUUGGAUUAAGAGUUAUUUUUAGGUGUAGAAGUUUAAAGUUUAGGUCUGUUCGACCUUUGAAUUCUUACAUGAUCUGAGUUCAAACCGGCGUAAGCCAGGUUGGUUUCUAUCCUUAAUUAAUUAUUAUAUUAUAGUACGAAAGGACCUAAUAUAAAAAAUAUAGAUUUUAAUAAUAUGAUUAAUAUUAAUAUUAGAUA
rnacentral:rRNA from 1 species